rnacentral:rRNA from 1 species
GACAGAGGGUGCAAACGUUGUUCGGAAUUACUGGGCGUAAAGCGCGCGUAGGCGGCCGCUUAAGUCGGAUGUGAAAGCCCCUGGCUCAACUGGGGAAGUGCACCCGAAACUGAGUGGCUUGAGUACUAAAGAGGGUCGCGGAAUUCCCGGUGUAGAGGUGAAAUUCGUAGAUAUCGGGAGGAACACCGGUGGCGAAGGCGGCGACCUGGGUAGAUACUGACGCUGAGGCGCGAAAGCGUGGGGAGCAAACAGG